rnacentral:rRNA from 1 species
UCGAGAAUAUUCGACAAUGGGCGAAAGCCUGAUCGAGCGACGCCGCGUGCAGGAUGAAGGCCCUCGGGUUGUAAACUGCGGUAGUAGGGGAGGAACGCAAGUGACUGUACCCUACGGAAAGUGGUUGGUAACUACGUGCCAGCACCAGCGGUAAUACGUAGACCACAAGCGUUAUCCGGAUUUAUUGGGCGUAAAGAGCAUGUAGGAGGUCCGGUGCGUCUCUGGUUAAAGCCCACCGCCUAACGGUGGAAGUGCCAGAGAUAUGAUCGGACUGGAGGAUGUGAGAGGUGCAUGGAACUCACGGUGUAGGGGUGAAAUCCGUUGAUAUCGUGGGGAACACCAAAGGCGAAGGCAGUGCACUGGUACAUUCCUGACUCUGAGAUGUGAAAGCGUGGGGAGCAAAAAGGAUUAGAUACCCCCGUAGUCCCUGAGCGGGCUGGCAAGGCGCAU